rnacentral:sRNA from 1 species
CUAGCCCCGAUAGAAGUGGAAAUCCUUUUGUGGCGGGGUUCGCCACAAAAGAUUGGAACGGAUAGCGGGAUUA